rnacentral:lncRNA from 1 species
CCUCUUCCUCCUUAUCUACUUCUCCAUCCCAAAUUUUACCUUCUUCCUUUUGAGCUGUUUGGUAGUGGGAAAUUAAACCCCCAUCACCUCAUUUACUUUUUGCUAGUUUGCAGUUCACUGGUUUUUGCAUGAAUGACAUAAAGAGCCUUCUUGGGUCAGCCUUUAUAUAAGGGUUUAUAAUUAUAAGGUUGAUCAUAUAUGCUAUUAAUAAAUAGAAAAGAGCAGUGCCAUAACUGCAUAUUAGCUUAGGCAGACAUUCAUGUAAAAGCCAACCCAUCAAUUUCAUUCGUCUAUAAAUCAAGAAAAGCAUCAAUUCUCAAAAGAAGAAACAACAAAAAUGCCUUGGUUUUUCAUAAUAUUCUUUCUUUGCUCCACAUUUAAUCAUCUUUCAGAAGCUAGCCAUAACAAGAAACUUCCAUCUGCAGUUGUAGUUGGUACUGUUUACUGUGACACCUGCUUCCAUGAAGAUUUCUCGAAGAACAGUCACUUCAUUUCAGGUUCUUUAAUUUUAUAACAGCUUCCCCUAAUUGUUUCCUUUCUUUUUAAUCUGAACUCCUUUUACUGAUUCUGUUUCUCAAUUUAAUGUUUAUAUUGGAUUUUGCACACAGGAGCAACUGUUGCAGUGGAAUGCAAAGAUGAAAAUUCAAGUUUUCAUCAAGAAGUGAAAACAGAUGAACAUGGAGAAUUCAGAGUUCAUUUACCAUUCUCUGUUGGUAAACAUGUAAAAAGAAUCAAGAAAUGUUCAGUUAAGUUAUUAAGCAGCAGUGAGCCUUACUGUGCAGUGGCAUCAACAGCAACUUCAUCAUCACUACGUCUAAAAUCAAGAAAGCAAGGAUUACACAUUUUCUCAGCUGGCUUUUUCAGUUUCAAGCCACAAAAACAACCAAAUCUUUGCAACCAAAAACCAAGUAUCCAAGAUUCUAAAGAAUUCAAUUCCAAGAAAAUCUCAUCAAUACCUACUAUUGGUGCUGGCAGUAUUCCUUCAGUAUCAUCACCACUUCAAGACCCAACAAUUCCUAAUCUCCCUCCUGUAUCACCACCACUUCAAGAUCCAACAAUUCCUAAUCUCCCUCCUGUUAACCAACACUUUUUCCCUCUUCCUUUUCUUCCUCAGCUUCCACCAUUACCACAGCUUCCUCCUCUUCCACCUCUUCCAGGAUUACCUAAAUUUCCACCGAUCCCUGGGAAGACCACAAAAGAAGUUAAAACCUCCCCUGAAAGUGUGAAGAAAACACCAGAAUCAGGAGAAGAACAACCAGACUUUUUCUUUCCAACACCACCACUUUUUCCACCAAACCCUUUUCAACCACCACCAAUUCUUCCACCAAACCCACUUCAGCCACCUCCAUUAAUCCCUCCAUUGCUUCCUCCAAACCCAUUUCAGCCACCUCCAUUAUUCCCUCCUAACCCUUUUCAACCUCCUCCAUCUCCAUCGUUUCCUUUCCCACCAAUUCCUGGCCUAACUCCAUCACCACCUCCACCAGUCUUUCCUUUUCCUCCUUUCCCCCCAUUCCCUUUCCCUCCUUCGCCUCCUCGAAUUCCAGGAAUCCCCCCUGCAGCCUCUAGUACUACUUCAACCACCCACAAAACUUCUCCUUGAUUUAUCUGUCAAUGUAAAAUUAUCCAAUAAUGUCUUAGAGUAUUUAGACCAAAUUACCUUUUUCAUAUAUAUUUU